rnacentral:rRNA from 1 species
UACGUAGGUGGCUAGCGUUGUCCGGAUUUACUGGGCGUAAAGAGCGCGCAGGCGGUCGUUCAAGUCGAGUGUGAAAGCCCCCGGCUCAACUGGGGAGGGUCACUCGAUACUGAUCGACUCGAAGGCAGGAGAGGGAAGCGGAAUUCCCGGUGUAGUGGUGAAAUGCGUAGAUAUCCGGAGGAACACCGGUGGCGAAGGCGGCUUCCUGGACUGACACUGACGCUGAGGCGCGAAAGCUAGGGGAGCAAACGGG